rnacentral:rRNA from 1 species
GAGUUUGAUCCUGGCUCAGAACGAACGCUGGCGGCGUGGAUAAGACAUGCAAGUCGAACGAGAGAAUUGCUAGCUUGCUAAUAAUUCUCUAGUGGCGCACGGGUGAGUAACACGUGAGUAACCUGCCCCCAAGAGUGGGAUAGCCCCGGGAAACUGGGAUUAAUACCGCAUAAAAUCGCAAGAUUAAAGCAGCAAUGCGCUUGGGGAUGGGCUCGCGUCCUAUUAGUUAGUUGGUGAGGUAACGGCUCACCAAGGCGAUGACGGGUAGCCGGUCUGAGAGGAUGUCCGGCCACACUGGAACUGAGACACGGUCCAGACACCUACGGGUGGCAGCAGUCGAGAAUCAUUCACAAUGGGGGAAACCCUGAUGGUGCGACGCCGCGUGGGGGAAUGAAGGUCUUCGGAUUGUAAACCCCUGUCAUGUGGGAGCAAAUUAAAAAGAUAGUACCACAAGAGGAAGAGACGGCUAACUCUGUGCCAGCCGCCGCGGUAAUUC